rnacentral:piRNA from 1 species
UGGAAGACUACACUAUGAGCAAUAGCAU